rnacentral:rRNA from 1 species
UUGAAAGGGAAACGAUUGAAGUCAGUCGUACCAGCGGGAAUCAACCUUUCGAGUGGGGUUUGGAGUUUUUUGAAGAGUGUCAAAACCUUUAUUUCAAAAUAUUCGCUCUUUUGGUGUACUUUCUCGUGGGUAGGUUAACAUCGAUUUUGAUCAUCAUAAAAAGAUUGGAGGAAUGUAGCUUCGAUCUUGUAUUGAAGUGUUAUAGCCUUUGGUAAAUGUGAUGAUUAGGAUCGAGGAUUGCAACGAAUACCCUUUUGGGCUAUCCGCCUGAUCUCUGAUACGUGGCCUUGGUAUCGAAAGCGUGCUUAUGGUAUUGAGGUAUUACGGUCAAAAGGUUAGAACGGAUUACAUUCGUUAAGGAUGUUGACGUA